GACGAACGCUGGCGGCGUGCUUAACACAUGCAAGUCGAACGGAAAGGCCCUGCUUUUGUGGGGUGCUCGAGUGGCGAACGGGUGAGUAACACGUGAGUAACCUGCCCUUGACUUUGGGAUAACUUCAGGAAACUGGGGCUAAUACCGGAUAGGAGCUCCUGCUGCAUGGUGGGGGUGGGAAAGUUUCGGCGGUUGGGGAUGGACUCGCGGCUUAUCAGCUUGUUGGUGGGGUAGUGGCUUACCAAGGCUUUGACGGGUAGCCGGCCUGAGAGGGUGACCGGACACAUUGGGACUGAGAUACGGCCCAGACCACUACGGGAGGCAGCAGUGGGGAAUAUUGCACAAUGGGCGGAAGCCUGAUGCAGCAACGCCGCGUGCGGGAAGACGGCCUUCGGGUUGUAAACCGCUUUCGCCUGUGACGAAGCGUGAGUGACGGUAAUGGGUAAAGAAGCACCGGCUAACUACGUG
rnacentral:rRNA from 1 species